rfam:Human astrovirus type 8 T8/TS/CN3383/1999 capsid protein precursor, gene, partial cds.
GGAAGCCGCGGCCACGCGGAGUAGGAUCGAGGGUACAGCUUCC